ACACAGCUGGGUUUGUUUGGUUCUGAGACUAAGUAGCUCAGGUCAGGUCAGCUGGGUCCCCGAGAAAGGAGGAGACAAUUAGGUCAGAGACCAGACCAGACCAGAUCAGAGGCUUUAUUUAAAAUAUUAAUGGACUGGACAAUGGAGAUGGUUGGCUGGUAGGUUGGGAUCCGAAAUUAUGGUACAGCCCUAGUCGGUGAACAGUCAC
rnacentral:lncRNA from 1 species